rnacentral:rRNA from 1 species
GAUGAACGCUGGCAGAAUGCUUAACACAUGCAAGUCUACUUGAACUUCGGUUUUUGUGGCGGACGGGUGAGUAACGCGUAAAGAACUUGCCUCACAGUUAGGGACAACAUUUGUAAACGAAUGCUAAUACCUGAUAUUAUGAUUUUAGGGCAUCCUAGCAUUAUGAAAGCUAUAUGCACUGUGAGAGAGCUUUGCGUCCCAUUAGCUAGUUGGAGGAGUAACGGCUCACGAAGGCGAUGAUGGGUAGCCGGCCUGAGAGGGUGAUCGGCAACAAGGCGACGGAGAGACGGAGACUACUACGAGGGGAAGCAGCAGGGGGGAAUAUAGAACAAGGGAACAAGAGUCUGAUCCAGCAAUGGUGUGUGAAGGAUGAAGUUUGGCGGAAUAUAAAGUGCGUUUAGUAGGGAAGAAAAAAAUGACGGUACCAACAAAAGAAGCGACCGCAAAACACG